UUUAAUGAAAAGUUGUUGUACGUUUACAUUUAUCUGAGAAUAAAAUUAUAAAUAAAAGCAAAAAGGAUGAUGUUUUUUCCAUUUAAGUUUUUAAACUGGUAUUCCUAUACAAAUAAGUAUGCAUGCAGUAUUUGUAUAGUAUGGUUUUAAUGGGACGGACAUUAUAGCCACAUAUGGAACGCACCAACGCCAUCCCAUAAAGGAGAGUAGGAAAUAUAUGGCUAACAUGCAGUUGCCAUAUAUGGACCACAUGAAAAUUUCUUGUUUAGAAAUAGUUUCCAUUGUUCACAGAUCCAAUAAUCUCGUCAUUUCCACAAAAAGCAAGACCGAUUGACGACAAUAAUUUGAUUGUACUUAAAGUCCGUUUGAGAAGUUUACGCCAAUAGUUCUAUUUAGACGUGUAUUAUUCUACAAGACUUUUAUCUAUUUGCUUUCCUGUUUUUAUUAUAUAAAUAACUUUUUCAAGUUUAUUCUUGUGCAAAGUACUGACUUCAUGGAGACUUAUGUCCCUGACUGUAGUCUUCCAAUUGUAAUAACCACUAGUUGCUAACAAUGACGUUUCUUCGGCUUUUCCGAAUAGUUUACAACUAGCUAAGUAAAUCUUACCAAUUUUUGAAGAAAAACAAAGCCAAUUAUACUAAACUUUCUCACCGUUUAAUUGCUCUCGAAAAAAAAAGAUUUUUAACAAUGUCGUUUAAACGUAUCGCCUAGAAAUAAACCUUCUGACGUGUUAAAAUUGCUUUCCAUGUGUUGACAACUAGCAAUUGUGCUACUUGUCAACUUGUUGAAAAGUUAGAUAGUUUUCAACAUUUUCCAUGUGUUGAAAACUAAUAUCUCCGUAUUGUAUUGUAUCUCCGUAUUAAAAACUAACAUCUCCAUACGUAUUGCUCAGUCGUGAAAAUCAUUUUGACAGGUUUCAGUUGCAAUUGCGCUACUUGUACCAAGUUAAAUAUUCGAUUCAGGCAUUCUCUUUUACUUUCUGAUAGAUUUCAAAGUGUUGAAAUCAAACAGAAAACUCACGAUGCUUCACAGGUUUUAUUGAAACACGUGAGCACCUGGUGCUUUCAAAAGAAAGUUACAUAAUUGGCUAAAAUAAGACAAUCCAACUUUAUUAUUUCGACUCAUGAAUAUUUUCGAAUUGGUACCAAAUUAUUAAGAAUGGUUGCUAAAUUUGUUUUUAUUUGCUCAGUAUAAUCAUCAACAUCAAUUUCAGGUGAUAAAUUGCAUGGCAUUGAUUGCAUUACUUAUAUAAAACGUGAUGAGUUAAGUUUUUUUAAAUUUCGUUUCAAAAACCAAACAGUUUAAGUUUUUAAAAAUGGAUGUUGGAGUGCUACCCGGAUUAGGUAGUGGUCCGAAAUACCUUCGUCUAAUACUUGAAGAUUUUUAAGGGAAAUGUUAUCAUAGCGAUUUAUUACUAAAUAAAGCAGGUUCGCAAUAACAGAAGUUGAUGAUAUGCGAGUUGGAGAUAGAACAAGUUGUAUCAUGCUCUAGGUAUCUAGAAUAUUAGCAAGCCUUGGAUUUAUAGUUGUUGGAGUGGUACCUUGGCAAAUAAAGUCACUGUAAAGAAACAUUUCUUCAGACAAUGUUUAAAGUUCUUCUAGAAGAUUAGAGAAUUUCAAAAAGAAAAUGCUUGUCGGGAUGAUGGGAAUGAUGAGAAUGAUCGAUAAAUAGCAAUAACAGUGUUUGCUAAAUUUAGUUUAGCAGAUGUACGUUUAUAUGACAGGCAAGUUGAUGAUAAUGACAAGGGUUUAGUAUUUAAGUUGUAUAUUAUUGCAAUGCCUCUCCCACGUGGUCAGAUUGGCAGUGUUGAAUUGUUUUGAAACUUGGUGGCGCUAUAUCUUGAAUUGCAGCAGGAACGUCUGGUCUUAUCCAAAUUUCAGUCAGUAUAACGAUUGAAUUUGUACCGUAGUAUGAAUGAUUGCAGGUUUCUUUAUAGUGGAUCGAACAUUUUGGAUACCCAAGUUUAGUGUAGAUUGUGCAGUAGGUCCUGGAGAGGAUCUUCAAUUUUUUCUAUGUAUUUUAUGCAGAUUUAAUUUUGAUCCAUUUAA